rnacentral:rRNA from 1 species
CCUACGGGGGGCUGCAGUGGGGAAUAUUGGACAAUGGGCGAAAGCCUGAUCCAGUCAUGCCGCGUGUGUGAAGAAGGCCUUCGGGUUGUAAAGCACUUUCAGUGGGGAAGAAAGCCUUGGGGCUAAUACCUUCGAGGAAGGACAUCACCCACAGAAGAAGCACCGGCUAACUCCGUGCCAGCAGCCGCGGUAAUACGGAGGGUGCGAGCGUUAAUCGGAAUUACUGGGCGUAAAGCGCGCGUAGGCGGUCUGAUAAGCCGGUUGUGAAAGCCCCGGGCUCAACCUGGGAACGGCAUCCGGAACUGUCAGGCUAGAGUGCAGGAGAGGAAGGUAGAAUUCCCGGUGUAGCGGUGAAAUGCGUAGAGAUCGGGAGGAAUACCAGUGGCGAAGGCGGCCUUCUGGACUGACACUGACGCUGAGGUGCGAAAGCGUGGGUAGCAAACAGGAUUAGAUACCCGAGUAGUC